GACGAACGCUGGCGGCGUGCUUAACACAUGCAAGUCGAACGGAAAGGCCCUGCUUUUGUGGGGUGCUCGAGUGGCGAACGGGUGAGUAACACGUGAGUAACCUGCCCUUGACUUUGGGAUAACUUCAGGAAACUGGGGCUCAUACCGGAUAGGAGCUCCUGCUGCAUGGUGGGGGUUGGAAAGUUUCGGCGGUUGGGGAUGGACUCGCGGCUUAUCAGCUUGUUGGUGGGGUAGUGGCUUACCAAGGCUUUGACGGGUAGCCGGCCUGAGAGGAUGACCGGCCACAUUGGGACUGAGAUACGGCCCAGACUCCUACGGGAGGCAGCAGUGGGGAAUAUUGCACAAUGGGCGGAAGCCUGAUGCAGCAACGCCGCGUGCGGGAUGACGGCCUUCGGGUUGUAAACCGCUUUCGCCUGUGACGAAGCGUGAGUGACGGUAAUGGGUAAAGAAGCACCGGCUAACUACGUG
rnacentral:rRNA from 1 species